GACAUAUUCAGCCUUAAAAUGUCCCAAAAAUAAGAACGGCCCAGCCUCAACUGAAAAUUAGACGUUCUUGUUAAAAAAAGAGUGUAAUGCGCUUCGCGGCCAAUUAUUUAGUUAAAAUGAUUUGGACCAUUGAAGUUGCAUUAUGGAAUUUGAGAUGAUCGAUAUUAUCGAAACGCUUUCAGUGAAUUUUGGGGAAAACUGUGGCGUCACCAUCAUAUCGCUAAAUAAAUCUAAAACGUUUGUCCUGUAGUGACCCUACGUACACUAUGGCUUUGAGAUUUCGUGCGCACAUCGUGUGCACACCGUGCUCACGGAAAGAAAUUCCGUGAGCACGGCCUCAUGCGGAGACGUUUAAAAGGUGCCCUGUUCCGUGCACAAGAAUUGUAAAUUCGAGAGGCAGAAAGUCGGAAGUAUGGCCUUUUAGAUUUUCAAAAAAUUCAGAUUGGGUGAAAUUCUUAUACAAAAGAGCGUUCCUUUAGUCUUAUGAUUUUUUUUAUUUCAAAGAUCGUUAUAACAGAUCGGCAGCCGUGCGCUACGCUCCAAAGGUGUUCGAAGAUAAUCGAAAUGGCGUGUGCUAAAAGUACUCAAGGUGUUAGCACGGAAUAAAAUUCCGUGAGCACGGGAAGAAAACUUCAAUAUACUGAACGCUGCAGCAUUGUAGACUCAAUAUGGUGCCUUAGGCAUCAAAAUUUUUCCCUAACAAUUCUAGGGCGGCCGAAGAAC